rnacentral:rRNA from 1 species
AACGCGAAGAACCUUACCUGGGCUCGAACGGCUUAAGACCAUCUUUGGAAACAGAGACUUCCCGCAAGGGACUUGAGUCGAGGUGCUGCAUGGCUGUCGUCAGCUCGUGUCGUGAGAUGUUGGGUUAAGUCCCGCAACGAGCGCAACCCUCGCCCUUAGUUGCCAUCAUUAAGUUGGGCACUCUAAGGGGACUGCCGGUGAUAAGCCGCGAGGAAGGUGGGGAUGACGUCAAGUCCUCAUGGCCCUUACGGGGCUGGGCUACACACGUGCUACAAUGGCGGUGACAAUGGGACGCAAUGGGGAAACCCUGUGCAAAUCUCAAAAAGCCGUCUCAGUUCGGAUUGUGCUCUGCAACUCGAGCACAUGAAGUUGGAAUCGCUAGUAAUCGCAGAUCAGCACGCUGCGGUGAAUACGUUCCCGGGCCUUGUACACACCGCGCAUA